rnacentral:rRNA from 1 species
AGUGAACGCUGGCGGUAGGCCUAACACAUGCAAGUCGAACGGCAGCACAGUAAGAGCUUGCUCUUACGGGUGGCGAGUGGCGGACGGGUGAGGAAUACAUCGGAAUCUACUUUUUCGUGGGGGAUAACGUAGGGAAACUUACGCUAAUACCGCAUACGACCUACGGGUGAAAGCAGGGGAUCUUCGGACCUUGCGCGAUUGAAUGAGCCGAUGUCGGAUUAGCUAGUUGGCGGGGUAAGGGCCCACCAAGGCGACGAUCCGUAGCUGGUCUGAGAGGAUGAUGAGCCACACUGGAACUGAGACACGGUACAGACUCUUACGGGAGGCAGAAGUGGGGAAUAUUGGAAAAUGGGCGCAAGCCUGAUCCAGCCAUACCGCGUGGGUGAAGAAGGCCUUCGGGUUGUAAAGCCCUUUUGUUGGGAAAGAAAAGCAGCAGGUUAAUACCCCGCUGUUCUGACGGUACCCAAAGAAUAAGCACCGGCUAACUUCGUG